rnacentral:rRNA from 1 species
GUACACGCUGUGACUAGCAUAUCAAUAAGCGGAGGAAAAGAAACUAACAAGGAUUCCCCUAGUAACGGCGAGUGAAGCGGGAAGAGCUCAAAUUUGAAAUCUUAAAGGGUUUCCCUUUACGAAUUGUAGUUUAAGAGAAGUGUUUUCUGUUGAGGUUUUGGUAAAAGUUCUUUGGAAUAGGACAUCAUAGAGGGUGAGAAUCCCGUAUUUGACCUUUACUUUCAACUUUGUGAUACACUUUCAAAGAGUCGGAUUGUUUGGGAAUGCAGUCCAAGAUGGGUGGUAAAUUUCAUCUAAAGCUAAAUAUUGGCGAGAGACCGAUAGCGAACAAGUACCGUGAGGGAAAGAUGAAAAGAACUUUGAAAAGAGAGUUAAACAGUACGUGAAAUUGUCAAAAGGGAAGCGUUUGACACCAGUGUUGUUUUUCUGAAAAUCAAUUAAAGAACUGUUUAUGCUAAGUUGUUUAGACUUUAUCAGCUAACUGUUUAGUUUUGAGCUUUUCUUUAAUGCACUUUUCAGUUAACAAGUCAACAUCAAUUUCUUUUGCUGUAAAAAAGCUUGAGGAAGGUGGCUUGAGAUUCGUCUUAAGUGUUUAUAGCCUCUUGCCUAUGCAGUCGGAGAGAUUGAGGUCUGCAGCGUAGAUCCUUCGGGGCUAAAUGCAUUUGUGCUAAGUUAUAGCAUUUUAUAGACAACUUGUUGACUAUGAUUUGUCUUGUAGCUUACUCGCUUAUGUUAUUUUACCUACGCUUAGGAUGUUGAUAUGCAUGACUGAUAU